ensembl:ncRNA ZK180.17 ncRNA
UUCCCCCGGUCUCGUUCAAUUUGAGAUUCCGAGUCAUUUCUCUCGAAUAAUAAGAUGUUGUACAAGGAUGCAGGCCCCCUUGGGGGAUCAUGGUUAUCUGAAAAGCCAAUCGAGAGGACAUUGUGUGACUCU